rnacentral:lncRNA from 1 species
UACAAGAAAAUACUCGCUGAGAAAAUCAUUGAUGUGGCAUAGUCUUUUGCUAAGGUAAAUGCUAAUGUAUUAUCCACUCAGUGCAAUGGAGGGAUAUACUCGUUAGAGGUGUUUAAAGGAUUAACUUUGAUCAAGUGUCAGUGUCUAGAUAAAAAUUUAUAAAGUAUGAGGAAUGAGAUGUCAAAACAGUAUAAGUAUGGGUGUAUAUUAGACUAUUUUCCUUAUAUUUUUAUGGGAGGUUGUGAGGUGCAAUUAGAUUAUACAUACUUCUUUUAUUAAUGCUUCAUGUUAUAGCUUUUCGGAUGAUUUUUCCUUAUUUCUGAGAGCCCCAGAGACUGGAGAGAUUGAUAACUGAGUGAGGCCGAGGGCCUGAUUGUGAGGAUAUUUAUGGGAUCGGGUUGUACACCAAAACAUAUUUCAUUAUUUUUGCCAUGAUUGGCUUGAUAUAGCGCUUGGGCUGUAGGAACCCCUUCGAAGUCUAAACGUACCCCGUGUGAGCGCAUGUACCUACUGAGUGCGAGUGCCG